UACGUAGGGGGCAAGCGUUGUCCGGAAUCAUUGGGCGUAAAGCGCGUGUAGGCGGCUCGAUAAGUCCGUUCUGAAAGCCCGGGGCUCAACCCCGGGAGGCGGAUGGAUACUGCUUGGCUCGAGUCCGGAAGAGGCGAGUGGAAUUCCCGGUGUAGCGGUGAAAUGCGCAGAUAUCGGAAGGAACGCCGGUGGCGAAAGCGGCCUGCUGGACCUCUUCUGACGCUGAGGCGCGAAAGCCAGGGGAGCGAACGGG
rnacentral:rRNA from 1 species